rnacentral:rRNA from 1 species
UACGUAGGGUGCAAGCGUUGUCCGGAAUUAUUGGGCGUAAAGAGCUUGUAGGCGGUUUGUCGCGUCUGCUGUGAAAUUUCGGGGCUCAACCCCGAACUUGCAGUGGGUACGGGCAGACUAGAGUGUGGUAGGGGAGACUGGAAUUCCUGGUGUAGCGGUGAAAUGCGCAGAUAUCAGGAGGAACACCGAUGGCGAAGGCAGGUCUCUGGGCCAUAACUGACGCUGAGAAGCGAAAGCAUGGGGAGCG